UUUUUUUUUUUAUUUUUUUUAUUUUUAGUAGAGACAAGGUUUCUCCAUGUUGGUUGGUCAGGCUGGUCUCGAACUCCUGACCUCAGGUGAUCUGCCCACCUCAGCCUCCCAAAGUGCUGGGAUUACAAGCAUGAGCCACCACACCUGGCUAUACCUUUUAUUUAAAAAAAAUAAGUGGUAGACCCCACUCUGUGACACUUUAUAGAGGCACAGCUGUACAAUGCAAGGGCAGGUGAAUUUUUAUCAUCCAGAUAGCUUUAUCAAUAUCCCUAAUGCUGUAUUACAUAAAACCUAAACAAGUCCCCCAAAUCACUUUCCUCAUCCCAAAACAUGUUUUUAACUUGAUUUUAAGUUAAAAAAAAAAUCAGAGCAGCAAUAUUUCUAUUAGAAUAUUGCCACUAUGCUAGUAAAGUAUUUAUAUAUGACAUUUACACCAGGAGGCACUGUUGUUCAAAACCAAGUUCUAAAUACAGUACAAGCUUCUUAAUGCGCAGGUCAGGAUUGACGCGGUUAUAAGCAGCCAAUGUGCUUUCAUAUUGCUUUUAUUCGUGGAAAGCAUACAUUAGAAAUCUGCCUGCCAGAAGAGUCCAGAAUCACUACAGCUUACAGCCUCGUUCCUUCUUGAGCAAUGUUGUGUUUAUUCCCUACAGCAGGGGGCUUCUAAAAGUUUAAAUGGUUUUUGAAUAUUUAAUAAUGGAUUUUUUUUUUCUGGUUGUAUUCUUUUUUUCUUUUGAGACAGAGUCUCAUUCUGUUGCCCAGGCUGGAGUGCAGUGGCGUGAUAUCGGCUCACUGCAACCUCCGCCUCCUGGGUUCAAGUGAUUCUCCUGCCUCAGCCUCCCGAGUAGCUGGGACUACAGGCACCCGCUACAAUUUCACCAUGUUGGACAGGCUGGUCUCGAACUCUUGACCUCAAGUGAUCCGCCCACCUCAACCUCCAAAAGUGCUGGGAUUACAGGUGUGAGGCACCGUGCCCAGCCUUGGUUGUAUUCUAAAAUGCAAAUUUGUUUAGCUUUAAAGUCAAGCCUCCUCUGUGCUGAACAAGACUGAUUCCUGCAUAUGAAUUCCACUCCCAUGCUCCUUCCACAUAGACAUAGGUACCGUUGAGACUGGAGCUACCAUGUUGGCUGAAGCCUGCCUCUCCCAACCACAGGUUUGCCAGUGGCUUCCUAAAUGUCAGGUCUAAUGAACACAUUCCCGUCUUUGUGCUGCUGGACUGCUCUAUGCUGUGUGACUCUGCAUUUCUGGGUGCGGAGGCCUGGCAAGGACAGGCCAGAGGAAGGCUGCCACAGCUCACAUGACUCGCCCUUUGGCUGUCAUGACACUCCUCUCACUAAGUCCUCCGUGUGGCUGAGUUCUCUCUCCUGAGUUUCUUUUUCUCUAGCCCGCCCAUUCCCAUCAGGGCUCACUAGGAUAUGACCCUCACCAUUAUCCCAUUCUGUGUACUCUUCCUGGAGCUACUGCAUCCUCUCCUACUUGCAUCAGCAACAUUUUAUAGUUCCCCUAGCACAGGAAUUCCUAUCUGCAGUCCCACUUCUCCUUGUGUUUCCUGCUAAACAUCUCCUCCUGAAGUUAUCCUCCUGAAGAUCCUGUAGGCCAAGUUGUCUAACCCAUGGCCUGCGGGCCCACAUGCAGCCCAGGACAGCUUUGAAUGUGGCCCAACACAAAUUCGUAAACUUUCCUAAAACAUGAGAUUUUUUGGCAAUUUUUCUUCAGCUCAUCAGCUAUCAUUAGUUAUAGAGUUUUAUGUGUAGCUCAAGACAAUUCUUCUUCCAAUGUGGCCCAGAGAAGUCAAAAGAUUGGACACCCCAGCGGUAGGCACUCAAACUCAGCAUAUCCAAAUAUGGACUCUUCAAACUUCCCCACAAACAUAUUUCUUCUCCUGUACUGUUUGGCUCCACUGCUGGCCUACCAUUCCCCCGAUACCCUAGCCAGAAACGGAGGGUCAUCCUUGACUCUUUCAUCUUCUGCCUCCCCCACACCUAGUGAAUGGUCCUUUUCUUUCCCUUUCCUCCACAGCCCUAGUUCAGACCCCAUCAUCUCCUGCCUUUCCAUCAUGAUCUCGCUUCCUGCUUUGUACCCCCCACUUUCAUAUUCAGACCUCUGCACAGCCUCCAGAGGGGAUCACUCAAAUACAAACUGAUCAUGGCCCCUUUACCGCCGACUCUCACCCACAGCUCCAAACCCUUAGGUGGCUCUCCCCUGCCACAGGACAAAGUCCAGUCUUAUUAGAUGCUCCCCCUUCCCAACAAGAGCCUUCUUAACCUGCUCCUGAUAAUGGCUCCAGCCUUGGCUCCCAGAACUCCCUUGCCCAGCAUAUUAUACUCCGGCAGCAUCAACCUGCUUCCAGUUCCCCCAGACACACUGGGCCCCAGAUUCCCCUCUGCCUGGAAGUCCUUUUCCUCCCUCCUCUGUUUUCUCCCCUGACUCAAUUCUGGUAUCCCCUCCUCCAGGAAACCUUUCCUGAAUUUUAGAAGCGAGGGAGCAAGACGCUGCACCCCCUCCUCCUGUUGUGAGCUUGCCGAGUUCUCAUCUUUUCCCAGGUGGAAUGGUGUGCUUUCCGCUGGCCUGUGAGCAUCUUGUGCUGGCACUGACUCAUGUCUUUACCUCUAGGGUCCAGCACAGGGCCUGGCACAUAGCAGGGGUUGAAUAAAUAUGUGUGUGUGUGUGUGUGUGUGUGUGUGUGUGUGUGUGUGUGUGUGUGUGUGUGAAGUCUCGCUGUUGUCACCC
rnacentral:lncRNA from 1 species